UCGUGAGACAGUUCGGUCCCUAUCUGUCGUGGGCGCUGGAGAACUGAGGGGGGCUGCUCCUAGUACGAGAGGACCGGAGUGGACGCAUCACUGGUGUUCGGGUUGUCAUGCCAAUGGCACUGCCCGGUAGCUAAAUGCGGAAGAGAUAAGUGCUGAAAGCAUCUAAGCACGAAACUUGCCCCGAGAUGAGUUCUCCCUGAGACUUAGAGUCUCCUGAAGGAACGUUGAAGACGACGACGUUGAUAGGCCGGGUGUGUAAGCGCAGCGAUGCGUUGAGCUAACCGGUACUAAUGAACCGUGAGGCUUAACCUUACAACGCCGAAG
rnacentral:rRNA from 1 species